GAGUUUGAUCCUGGCUCAGGAUGAACGUUGGCGGCAUGCUUAACACAUGCAAGUCGAACGAAGAGCUUCGGCUCUGAGUGGCGAACGGGUGCGUAACACGUAGGUGACCUGCCCAAAAGUGGGGGAUAACCAUUGGAAACGAUGGCUAAUACCGCAUGUGCUUGAAUUUCGGUUCAAGUAAAGCGUCUGGAAGCGCUUUUGGAGGGGCCUGCGGCCUAUCAGGUAGUUGGUGGGGUAAUGGCCUACCAAGCCAAUGACGGGUAGCUGACCUGAGAGGGUGGUCAGCCACAGGGGAACUGAGACACGGUCCCCACUCCUACGGGAGGCAGCAGUGAGGAAUAUUGCACAAUGGGCGCCAGCCUGAUGCAGCAAUGCCGCGUGCAGGAUGAAACCUUUCGGGGUGUAAACUGCUUUUGCAUGGGAGCAGCAAGGAGCGUACCAUGCGAAUAAGUCACGGCUAACUACGUGCCAGCAGCCGCGGUAAGACGUAGGUGGCAAACGUUAUCCGGAAUUACUGGGCGUAAAGGGUCCGUAGGCGGUCUUUUAGGUCUGACGUGAAAGCCCAUGGCUCAACUGUGGGAUGCCGUUAGAAACCAAAAGACUAGAAUUGCUUCGAGGUCGGCGGAAUUCCCGGCGUAGUGGUGGAAUUGCGUAGAGGUCGGGAGGAAACGCCAAAUGCGAAAGGCAAGCCGGCUAGGAGACCGAUUGACGCUGAGGGACGAAAAGCGUGGGUAGCCAACAGGAUUAGAUACCCUGGUAGUCCACGCCGUAAACGAUGUGUGCUAGGUAUGUGAGUUUAAAAGCUUGCGUGCCAAAAGCUAACGCGUUAAGCACACCGCCUGGGGAGUACGGCCGCAAGGCUAAAACUCAAAGGAAUUGACGGGGGCCCGCACAAGCAGCGGAGCGUGUGGUUUAAUUCGAUGCAACGCGAAGAACCUUACCAGGGCUUGACAUUUGAGUAGUAGAUGCGAGAAAUCAAUUCGACCUUCGGGAGCUCAAACAGGUGCUGCAUGGUUGUCGUCAGCUCGUGUCGUGAGAUGUUGGGUUAAGUCCCGCAACGAGCGCAACCCCUAUCGUUAGUUUUAUGUGUCUAGCGAGACCGCCCUGUCAAAGGGGAGGAAGGUGGGGACGACGUCAAAUCAGCAUGGCCUUUAUGUCCUGGGCGACUCACACGCUACAAUGGCGCGUACAAUGGGUAGCUACACGGCGACGUGAUGCGAAUCUCCAAAGCGCGUCUCAGUUCGGAUUGGAGUCUGCAACUCGACUCCAUGAAGGCGGAGUUGCUAGUAACCGCGCGUCAGCCAUAGUGCGGUGAAUGCGUUCCCGGGCCUUGUACACACCGCCCGUCACGUCAUGGAAGUUGGUAACGCCUGAAGUCGGGUAGCUAACCGCAAGGAAGCGCCUGCCGAGGGUGGGACUGGUAACUGGGACGAAGUCGUAACAAGGUAGCU
rnacentral:rRNA from 1 species